GCCGCUCCAUCUUGUUUAUUUAAGAGGUAAACGUUCAGGGUCACUUGUUCAAGACUGAACUGUGAAAAGUGAUUUGUGAUUUUUAUGGACCCUGAUGUGACGCAUCCACAAAUGCUGAGGGAACAGGCAGACAUCAUGGCCAGGGGGCUCAUGAUCUUCUUUGAAAGGUCAUGGAGAUCAGGAGAGGUGCCUGAGGGCUGGAAGAAAGCAAAUGUCACCCAGUUCUCAAAACAGGCAAGAAGGAGGACACAGGGAACUGGAACCAGUCAGUCUCACCUCAAUCCUUGGAAGGGGCAGAGGCCUGCUCAGGGUGUUCACUGAUGACACAAAGCUGAGGAGGGGUCUGCAGCCCUUCAGAGGGACCUGGAGAGAUGGGCAGACAAGAACUGUCUGAAGUUCAACAAAGGCAGGUGCAGCAUCCUGCACCUGGGGAGGAACAGCCCCUGGCACAGGCUGGGCCCAACCUGCUGGAAAGCAGGACAAGGACUGGGGGUCACGGUGGACAACAAGCUGUCCGUGAGCCAGCAGUGCCCUUGAGGCCAGGAGGGCCAGUGGUGUCCUGGGAUGCAUUGGGAAGAGCUUUGGCAGCAGGUCAAGGGAGGAGAUCCUGCCCUUCUGCUCAGGCCAGGUGAGGCCUUGUCUGGAAUGCUGUGCCCAGUUCUGGGCUCCUCAGUAAAAACAACCAUGGAACUCCUGGAGUGGGUCCAGCAGAGAGAUACAAGGGUGGUCAAGGGGAUGGAACAUCUCUCUUAUGAGGAAAGGCUGAGUGAGAUGGGCAUGCUGAGCCUCUAAAAGAGAUGACUGAGGGGAGACCUCAUUAAUGUCUGCCAGUGUCUGCAGGGAGGGGUCAGAGCAUGGACUGGGCUCUGCUCGGUGCUGCUGAGCAAUAGGACAAGAGAAAAUGGACAGGAACUGAGGUAUGGAAAGUUCCACCUGGACAUGAAAAAUUUCUUUACUUUGAGAGCAAUGGAGCACUGGAACAGAUUUCCCAGAGAGCCUGUGGCAUCUCCCUCACUAGAGUUAUUUAGGAACUUUGUGGAUAAAAUCCUGUGCCUUGUGUUCUAAGAUAACCUGCUUGAGCAGGAAGGCUGGAACAGAUGAACACUAUCGUCCCUUCUGACCUGAUCCAUUCCGUGAUUCCUUCUAUGGAAUUCCUUCUAUUUCCUUCUGUGAUGUUCAGUUGCAUGCAUUGCUUCUACAGAUACACAAGAUGUGUUAAGCAGCUGCGUUUCCUAAUUUUUUUUAAUUGGAAAUAAACACUUUACCUCCCAGGUAUUUUACCUGUGUGUUAAGGACAGUGACUUCACAUCACACAGAGCCAUCAAACCGGAGGCUGCUCCCGUGGGUUCCCUCAGUUUGUCACUAGAUGUCAGCCUGCACCUUCAGGUCCCUACCCUUCUAUAACCAAGUGCACCUCUCCACCAGCACCCCACCAGGAAUCUGUAACAAAGGAGACCAAGCAUGAAAAUCUUGUCAAGAAUUCAAUUACACCCUAACCACUGUGCUGCCAAGCAGAGUUCGAGGCCUUUCGUUGCCAUUAGGAUCCAGCAACAGUGAGCAACUCAGGCAACAGGGAACUGUUUCAAGCCAGAGAAUACGAGCACACUCACAAAGUGGCCCAG